rnacentral:misc_RNA from 1 species
UUUCCGUAGGUGAACCUGCGGAAGGAUCAUUAAAAAAUGAGACCUCGAUUUUUGAAGGUCUAUUUAUAAUCCUACCCUUUGUGAAUUUGUUUGUUUUAUUAUGUGUCUUUCCCUGGUUUUGAUGGAGCUUGUUUAAAGCAAAAUCAAUCCAGGGGAAUGGCAAAACUUUUUUUUAAAAUUAAACUUUUUGUAUUCAUUUGUCUAAAAUUAUUUUUAUAAUAUAAAAACAACUUUUGACAAUGGAUCUCUUGGUUCUCGCAACGAUGAAGAACGCAGCAAAAUGCGAUGAGUAGUGUGAAUUGCAGAAUACGUGAAUCAUCGAAUCUUCGAACGCAUAUUGCACUUUUUUAGUUUACUAAAAAAGUAUGUCUGUUUGAGUAUCAGUAAAAUAUUCUCAUAAAAACUUUUUGUUUUUAUGGUUAUGAGUGUUUUACAACGAUACAAGUUGUUUCACUUUAAAUUCUUUGUCUUUUAAAAAAUCAUUAAAAACUGAUUUUUUUUUAAAAAUUGGAUAAAAUUUUCCCGUAAAAAGGAAUAACCUAAACAAUUUUAAAAAUUAAAUUGGUUUGAUUUCUUUUAAGAAUCAAAAGGAAAAAAAGUAAAAAUUAACUUGAUCUCAAAUCAGAUAAGAGUACCCGCUGAACUUAAGCAUAUCAAUAAGCGGAGGAAAAGAAACUAACAAGGAUUCCCUUAGUAACGGCGAGUGAAGCGGGAAGAGCUCAAAUUUGAAAUCUUCAAGGUUUUACCUUGACGAAUUGUAGUUUAAAGAAGUGUUUUCUGUUGGAGUUUUGGUAAAAGUUCUUUGGAAUAGGACAUCAUAGAGGGUGAGAAUCCCGUAUUUGACCAUUAUUUCCAACUUUGUGAUACACUUUCAAAGAGUCGGAUUGUUUGGGAAUGCAGUCCAAAAUGGGUGGUAAAUUUCAUCUAAAGCUAAAUACUGGCGAGAGACCGAUAGCGAACAAGUACCGUGAGGGAAAGAUGAAAAGAGCUUUGAAAAGAGAGUUAAACAGUACGUGAAAUUGUCAAAAGGGAAGCGUUUGACACCAGCGUUGUUUUCUCGAAAAUCAAUUAGAAAUGGUGGGAUUUUGUGUUGUAUUGACUUUAUCAGCUUUCUGCACUUUUUUCCUGUCUUCUUUAAUGCACUUUUCGUUUAACAAGUCAACAUCAAUUUCUUUUGUUGUAAAAGGGUCAUUGGAAGGUGGCUUUCUUUUCGGAGAAAGUGUUUAUAGCCUUUGACUUCUGCAAUCGGAGAGAUUGAGGUCUGCAGCGUAGAUCCUUCGGGUUAGAUGCAUUUGUGCUAAGCUAUAGCCUUUCAUAGACAACUUGUUGACUAUGAUCAGUCAUGUAGCUUACUCGCUUAUGUCAUUUUACCUACGCUUAGGAUGUUG